GUCCCUUCGGGGACAUCCAAUAAAGUUGGAAGGAUACAGAGAAGAUUAGCAUGGCCCUGCGCAAGGAUGACACGCACAAAUCGAGAAAAAAAUGGUCCAAACUUUG
rnacentral:snRNA from 1 species